GAUCCUAGGCUGUGGUUUAAGGAUGAGCUUAACAAGAAGUUGGUGAGACUAUUAACACCCUGAAGCUCAACAAGGGAUGAGUAUUGUUAAUGGUUUAAUUGCUAGAUACUAUCACAGAGUCAUACCUCAAAGAACAUCCAAUCAAACAAAUAUUGAGAGAGUCGUUGUGGGAUUUUUGCUUUUCUUCCAAUUCAUUUGGUUAGAGAAAUAAAAAGAAAAAAAAAAAAUAGGGGUGAGGAAAGAAGAAAAAAAAAAAAAUUAAAACAUGAAAACUUAAACAACAAAUCAAAAUUAUUUCCGUCCCAUUCCUACGCUUAUCCAACCAGCAGUUGAGCGCGGUUCUUCCCAAGUCCUCGUUCAUCGGGAGACCUGAAAUCAAGUUUGCGGGCGCGCGUGUGUGCCUCCAGCCAUCCUUAACCAUCCCGGCGACUCAAAACCUGGCUUGGUUCUUCGAAGCGGACGCUCUCGACGACGAACACGGGCGCCUCUUCUAUCCAUCACUAUUUCAACUUCUGGCUUUGGAGAUCCAUUCCAAUGUGACUUGGAUUUGCCCAUUACUCAUCGGAAAGCACUUGCUAACCCUAGGUGGGAGCAUGCGAUGGGUGUAGAAAUGGAUGCCUUGAUCACUUGACUGGACAUGGGACUUGGUGGAUCGUCCUCCGCGUAGGUUGCCAAGGGUUACACUUGAACAUAUGGUACUUCUAGUAUGUUGAUAUCAUCAUCACCGGCAGCAACCAGAGCGGCAUUGCAGAUGUUAAAUAGUGGCUUGAAGCAAAUUUCAAAUCAAGGACUUAGGUAUUCUGUGUUACUUUCUUGAAGAUUGCAAGAACUCUCUUUGUAAAAUCUGUGGAUCAGUUGGGCAAUAUUUUUUGUGAAGCCUUUAUUUAAGCCCUCCUUUUCUAAUGAUUGUGAUAUUUAUUCACCUCCAGCUUGAGGGGGAGUGUUAGAAGAGAAUAUGUUAUUUUAGUAAUUAGGUUGUGUUAAUGGAGUUUUUUCCUUAAAACUUGAUUACUAUCAAUAAUAUAUAAGAGGUCAGAUCUGGAACUGUACUUGACUCCAGGAAACUUCCUCUCAGUUUUCAUUUCUUUUUCUCUCCUCCUCUUAUCUUCCCUCCUCUUCUCUCCUGCAUGUCUAACUUUACAGCACCUAUAUGUCCAUUGAACUCCAUAAUCACUAUAUUCUUAUUGGUCAUUUUUUGUAUAUGAUUUAUCAAACCAUAUUAAAUGAUAAAUAACAUAUAUAAAUAUUAUAUUUCUGGAUUUUUUAUUUGGUUUAGGGCCAUAAUUGUCUUCUUGCAAAGUUAUGAAUUAUUUCUCUUCUUCUCUCUCCAAAUAUCUCCAAUUUGGGGAGGAAAAAAGUGAACAUUUUUCUCCUUUUUUGUGUGCACUCCUUUUCUCUUCUUCCCUCUUUAUUGGAACCAAACACAAAAAGUGGAGUGAAUUCUUUUCUCCUCUCCUCUUAACUUCUCUCUCACCCAAUGCACCCUUAACGAGAUAUUUAAUGUUUUCUGGGCAUGCCGAGGCAUCAGCCAAAAAUUUAGCAGUAAAGCUUUGGAUCAUUUUCCUUCGUUAUGUUUCAGAAUAAGUCUUGACAUAGCAAUCUCUUUCAAUUUGCAUAUCUGUUUUGAGUUGUGUUUGGAUGGUAAGAAUGGAAUCUAAAAAAGUGGGAAUGAAUUCCCAUGGGGAAUGCAAUCGCAUUCGAGACUUGAGAAUGGAAUGACUGGUCCCACACCCUUGAAAAUAACAUAAUUUUCAAAAAAUUCAUUUGCUUCUUAAAAUGAUAAUGGCAAACCAAAUUCAUGGAAUGAGAACGAAUUCAUGUGAUUAGUAUUGCAUUCCGCUCUUGAAAGGGUGGAAUGACUUCCCACAUCCGUGGGAAUAACAUGAUUUUUUAAGAAAGCCAUUUUCACAUAACCCAACACAUGGAAUACUAAAAAUUCCCUUUCUCAUUCCUAUUUUGUGAAUUCAAACAGAGUCUAGCAGUUAGAUGGAAUUACUUCUUUGUGUGCCAAUAGACAAGCAAGCAGAACAAGCAGGAUGGCGGUGUACCAAUUAUAGAUAAGACAUUAGUACUACUCUCUUCUCUCUCUAUUAUUCUGCAUCAAGAUGGUUAGAGCUCUGGGUCUGAACUUCUGAUUCCGUUCUUAUUCCUCCUUCACUAUAUUGUGCUUUCCAUCCAUUUCACCAUGGUACAAUCCAUCUCCGUUAAUAUCCUUAAGAAAUCACUAGCACUUAAUACUGUUCAUCUGAGCAUAACAUUGUUGUUUACUGUCCCACUCCCACUGUCUGUCAGUAGCUACAUCCCUACCUGCUGCGAUAUUUUUUUAUUUCCUUUCGUACUAGCCGUCAGCAUUUAUGUUUGGUCCCUUGAUGGAACUUUCAUCAAGCUUGUUGCUGGUGUCCUUUACUGGGGGGAACAGGUUGCACAUGUUCUCGCCUUAUUGAGCUGCCUAUGGCCAUCAGUAAUUGCGGGACUGUUGUUGGCUUGCUGCCAUAUGUUGCUUCUAUUGUGGAUUGCUUUCUUUGCUGCUUCUUACUGAUCAAGUUUAGAGUUUCUGUUAUAGUCCUCUGGGAGGAGGAGAAAGAAACAAAUGAUUCAGAUCAGAAAUAAAUGAAUCAGAUCCAUAGCUUAUUGAUCCUGCCAAAGCUUCCAUGUGUUUUUAUCUCCUUGUAUGACUUCUCAACUAUCAGUGGGAAGAGUAUCUAAUACAAGCUUAUAACGCAGACUGCUGAGAGUGACAGAAUGCUGAAUCAAGAUGCUGAAAAAUGUUUGAUGGAUGAUCUUUGCAAAUAUCCAGGACUCUCUCAAUCUGAGGGACCAUUUUCUGUUGAAAAGGUCACUAGCUCACUUGCGGAUGAAGAGGACUAUAUUUACAAGCUAAAUGAGUUGCAUGCCUACCUUGACAAGGUGAAAGGGAUUGUGCGACCAGGUUGUUCACAGCAAGUGCUGGAUGCGGCAUUGAGUUCCUUAUCUUUGCUUUUUAACACCCUCGCCCUCGUGUCUUCAAACCCAAAAUUCCAUUCCUCUCUUUGAAUUCUUCGCCUUUCUCAACCCACCACCACCACCACCCCCACCACCACCUAGGAGGUGGAGGGUAAGGAAUCUCCAAUAAUUUGCAUAUUAUUUGCAACUUCUCUCGAAGUUAGCGGCAGAUACCUAUAAUUACUCCAAUAAUAACAAGUAUAUUAUUUGGAACU